AAGUCGUAACAAGGUUUCCGUAGGUGAACCUGCGGAAGGAUCAUUACUGAAUAUCGAGAGUUGAGCUGGUACUUUCGGGUGCAUGUGCUCGCUUUCAAAUUCAUCUUACCACUUGUGAACCUUUUGUAGACUGUGGAUCUGUUCUCAACUUUAACGAGUUGGAUUGAGAGAUUGCUUAACGGCUUCUCUUGCGUCCCAGUCUAUGUUUAUCCAUUUACUCUGUAUGUUUUGAAUGUCAUUCUAUGGGUCUUUGUACCUAUAUAAUCUAAUACAACUUUCAACAACGGAUCUCUUGGCUCUC
rnacentral:misc_RNA from 1 species